rnacentral:tRNA from 2 species
GCGCGGUUAGCUCAGCGGUAGAGCACUACACUGACACUGUAGGGGUCACUGGUUCGAACCCAGUACCGCGUACCA